rnacentral:rRNA from 1 species
AUUGAACGCUGGCGGCAGGCCUAACACAUGCAAGUCGAACGAGUGGCGGACUGGUGAGUAAUGUCUGGGAAACUGCUUGAUGGAGGGGGAUAACUACUGGAAACGGUAGCUAAUACCGCAUACCAUCGGAUGUGCCCAGAUUGGAUUAGCUAGUAGGUGGGGUAACGGCUCACCUAGGCGACGAUCCCUAGCUGUUCUGAGAGGAUGACCAGCCAAACUGGAACUGAGACACGGUCCAGACUCCUACGGGAGGCAGCAGUGGGGAAUAUUGCACAAUGGGCGCAAGCCUGAUGCAGCCAUGCCGCAUGUAUGAAGAAGGCCUUCGGGUUGUAAAGUACUUUCAGCGGGGAGGCGUUACCAGCAGAAGAAGCACCGGCUAGCUCCGUGCCAGCAGCCGCGGUAAUAC